rnacentral:rRNA from 1 species
GAUUAACGCUAGCGGCAGGCCUAAUACAUGCAAGUCGAACGGCAGCGGGUCCAGCAAUGGAUGCCGGCGAGUGGCGCACGGGUGCGUAACACGUAUGCAAUCUACCCUUAACUGGGGGAUAGCCCCGAGAAAUCGGGAUUAAUACCCCAUAAUAUUAUGAAGUGGCAUCAUUUUAUAAUUAAAGUUCCGACGGUUUUGGAUGAGCAUGCGCGACAUUAGCGAGUUGGCGAGGUAACGGCUCACCAAGGCUGCGAUGUCUAGGGGUUCUGAGAGGAUUCACCCCCACACUGGUACUGAGACACGGACCAGACUCCUACGGGAGGCAGCAGUAAGGAAUAUUGGUCAAUGGACGCAAGUCUGAACCAGCCAUGCCGUGUGAAGGAAGACGGCCCUACGGGUUGUAAACUUCUUUUGUACGGGAAAAAACCACCGGUCGUGAAUCGGUGCUGAUGGUACCGUAAGAAUAAGCAUCGGCUAACUCCGUGCCAGCCGCCGCCGUAA